GUCUAUGGAGGCUGGACUCUUUUUGAUUGACAGCAUAUGUCGCGAUCUGACAGGAAGUGGUUCAAGUUCAAGGGAUGCAUUAACGUUAGUGUUGGCAGGUGAAGUCGAGAGGCAAGGCAAGUUGCAGCUCAAAUUCUCAUAAUUUGUGAGCAAUACAGUCAUUUUCUAUUUGUC